rnacentral:tRNA from 1 species
GUCAGGAUGGCCGAGUGGUCUAAGGCGCCAGACUCAAGGUUCAAUACCUUCCAUAUAAAUGGGGCUUCUGGUCUCCAAUGGAGGCGUGGGUUCGAAUCCCACUUCUGACA